rnacentral:rRNA from 1 species
GACGAACGCUGGCGGCGUGCUUAACACAUGCAAGUCGAACGGAAAGGCCCUGCUUUUUUGGUGUGCUCGAGUGGCGAACGGGUGAGUAACCCUUGAGUAACCUGCCCUUGACUUUGGGAUAACUUCAGGAAACUGGGGCUAAUACCGGUUAGGAGCUCCUUCUGCAUGGUGGGUGUUGGACAGUUUGGGCGGAUGGGGAUGGACUCGCGGCUUAUCAGCUUGUUGGUGGGGUAGUGGCUUACCACGGCUUUGACGGGUAGCAGGCCUGAGAGGGUGACCGGCCACAUUGGGACUGAGAUACGGCACAGACUCCUAAGGGAGGCAGCAGUGGGGAAUAGUGCACAAUGGGCGGAAGCCUGAUGCAGCAACGCCGCGUGCGGGAUGACGGCCUUCGGGUUGUAAACCGCUUUCGCCUGUGACGAAGCGUGAGUGAAGGUAAUGGGUAAAGAAGCACCGGCUAACUACGUG